GCCAGUGCAGGAGCUGUAAACUCCCUGGAUCACCUUUCACUCAUAGGCACGAAAGGAGAAGAAUCCAGCUUGGUCUCAAUCAAUGGUGCAAUCUUUAUUCAAACACAAAUACAUGGAUCACAGUAGAGGAAUCACCUCCAUGAUGCUUCGCAAUAUGUUUAAAUACCAUAGAUGUAUUUUUGGUACCAAAGUGCGGAACAUCUGAGAGGUUUCAGAGGAUUGCUGGUGCAGCCCACGUAUUGGAUCAAACACAAGUCACAGAGAUGUGAAGAUCAGCUCACCCGAUCACAGUCCCAUCCACAGCGUGGCAGGUGUGCGGCAACACCAACAGAUAUGAAGAAAAGAAAGUAGCCAGCAUGGAAAAUGCAGACACUCUCUUUAUUGCAUAAACUCCAAAGCACAGAACAGGGUAACCAUGAUGAUGCGUUUUAGGCAUUUACCGCCCUUUCUUGUGAUUGUAUUAUGUUCUGCAACACUGACCCACUUGAGAAAUAUAGCGAAACGACUUAAUGUACUGCACAAUGUUUAAUAUUGAUAUGGGAACUCAACCCAUGUUUUUGACCAUCAUCCAGGACAUAGUCCUAUAGAGAUACCUCCAUAGGCUACAUCUGAAUGGUAAAGAUUAAGUUUUUGCUCUUUUUUUUUUUAAUGAUAAUUGAACAACUAUACACUACUGUUACCUUGUUAAGUGUAAAUUUUCUAGUGAAAACCUGCAAAUCCUGUAUGCCAACUGCAAUUAGAAACAUUGAUUUAU